UUCCGUUAUCACCUAGCACCUUCAGAAUU
rnacentral:sRNA from 1 species